rnacentral:rRNA from 1 species
UACAGAGGGUGCGAGCGUUAAUCGGAAUUACUGGGCGUAAAGAGCUUGUAGGCGGUUUGUCGCGUCUGCCUGUGAAAUUUCGGGGCUCAACCCCGAACUUGCAGUGGGUACGGGCAGACUAGAGUGUGGUAGGGGAGACUGGAAUUCCUGGUGUAGCGGUGAAAUGCGCAGAUAUCAGGAGGAACACCGGUGGCGAAGGCGGGUCUCUGGGCCGAUACUGACGCUGGAGGAGCGAAAGCGUGGGAGCAAACAGG